rnacentral:piRNA from 1 species
UAAACACCAUCUCUGUUCCAUCCUGGCAUU